rnacentral:lncRNA from 1 species
UAAAAAUAAAUUUCAGACCCGCCAGGAUCGGAACCGCAUGGUACCUGGAAACGUCGCGGGCCGGUUCAACCAUGAGAACCGCCAGACCCGGAACCGAAUACAGCCUUACUGUGAACAGGAAAGAUUGGGCAAGCAUGUAUCAGCACAAUUAGCAUUGGCAAUGGUUAUAGCUUCCUGUCCAAUUUUAACUUGUUGAAGUAAUUCCAUUAGUUGUGUUCGUUGUUCCUGCUUUAUACCAUUGGUUGUUUCCACAUCAUGGGAUUGAACUUGUCCAUAACCUCCUUCAUCUAUUGUUACUGCAUUUCCUUGAAUAAUAGAAUUCUGAAAUCUUCUUUGUUUGAACCCUGGCUUGAAAUUCUGUGGAUAACCAUGAAAGUUUAUAGCAUUUGUCGAUUGUAUGGCCUGGUUUUUUGCAAUAAUUGCAAUUUAGACUUCUCCUGUUGUCUUGAUUUGUUCUAAAACUAUAACCACUAGUAUUCACUUUAGAGUCUGCAGGUUUCACUUGAGUUGAAUUGAACCUCUGUGUUGACACAGCAAACGAGCCAGAUUCACUAGGAUAAUGUCCCAUGUUCUAUAUCCCUCUUUGCCUUUCUUCUUGCAAGAGUAAGUAAUAAGCCCUAUCAAUAUUAGGUGGAGGAUGCAUCAUUAUGAUGUUUCCCCUAACAUUAGUAUAUAACUCAUUGAGCCCCAUUAAAAACUGAACUUAUUUCUGUCUCUCUUCAAAUGCAUCAUUCUUAUCAUUAGCUUCACACUUACAAUCAACACAAGUGCAUACAGUCCUUACAAUCAAUCCAUAUGGCUUUUAUCUUGUUGAAAUAAGUAGCAAUGUUGGAAGAUCCUUGUACUGUUUCUAAUAGUUGUUUUUGCAAAUCAAAUGACUGAGCCAGGUUGGAUUGCCCAUACCUAUCCUCAAGUUGUUUCUAUAGAAUCCUCGCAGAGGUAGAAUGAAUUACGCUGGGCCUGAUAUCUGGAGUAAGGGAAUUCAGAAGCCAAGCAAACACUAUGUCAUUACACCUUAUCCAAUAUCGCAAAUCUGGUGAAUCAUCCUUAGGCCUGAUCAAGCUGUUGUCAAUAAAACCUAGCUUGUUUUUUGCAGGUAAAGCAAUUAAAAUUGAUUUUCUCUAGCCUCCAUAUCCAGUUCCAUUGAAGGCAGGAGAAAUCAGACACAUUCUGGGAGAAUCAGAAGCAUGCAAAAAGUAUGGAUGAUCUGCAUUGAUCUUAGUUGCUGCCAUUAAAACAGCUUCAAAGAGAAGUUCUGAAGAAUUUCAAUGAAUUUGAGUAGAAAAUCAAACGAUCUAGAAGAAAUUUGUAACAAAACAGUAGAGAAAAUCAACUGGGUCGGCAGAUGCUUUGAUACAAUGUUGAAUUUAGAGAGAAAUUUUGUGAAAAUAAAAAAUGAAUAUUCUCUUCUAUUCAGUUCUGUUACUGUUUACAAAAAUAGAGAAUGAAUAUAUAUACAACUAGCUAACUAACCAACCUCCUUACACAUGUAUAUAAUUAUCCUGUAGAACGUACUAGAAG